rnacentral:rRNA from 1 species
CCUACGGGAGGCAGCAGUGAGGGAUAUUGGUCAAUGGGGGAAACCCUGAACCAGCAACGCAGCGUGAGGGAAGACGGUUUUCGGAUUGUAAACCUCUGUCCUCUGUGAAGAUAAUGACGGUAGCAGAGGAGGAAGCUCCGGCUAACUCCGUGCCAGCAGCCGCGGUAUUACGUAGGGAGCAACCUUUGUACGGAUUUACUGGGUGGAAGGGGUGGGUAGGCGGCCUUGCAAGUGAGAAGUGAAAUCCAUGGGCUUAACCCGGGAAGUGCUGUUGAAACUGUAGGGCUUGAGUGAAGUAGAGGCAGGCGGAAUUCCCGGUGUAGCGGUGAAAUGCGUAGAGAUCGGGAGGAACACCAGUGGCGAAGGCGGCCGGCUGGGCUUUAACUGACGCUGAAGCACGAAAGCGUGGGUAGCAAACAGGAUUAGAUACCCGAGUAGUC